rnacentral:rRNA from 1 species
UAAAGGACACCCCUACGUUCGGAUUGUAGGCUGCAACUCGCCUACAUGAAGCUGGAAUUGCUAGUAAUCAUAGGUCAGCAUACUAUGGUGAAUACGUUCCCGGGCCUUGUACACACCGCCCGUCACACCAUGAGAGUUGAGAAUACCCGAAGUCCAUGUCAAAGUGGCCGAAGGUAGGCUUGAUGAUUGGGUGAAGUCGUAACAAGGUACC